AAACCGUUCAGGGGUAAACCUGAGAAACCCGAAAGUUCGAACGGAGAGAUUCAUCGCGAUUCGUUGCGUGCAGAGCCAGGGCGUGCGGACCCAUCGUUACUCGGUGGGACGUGCCUCUGCUCGAGCGUUCGAUCGCGUGCACUUCUCUCCCAGUAGGACGUCGCGACCCGUUGGACGUCGGUCUACGGACGACGAUGUAGUCCGAGGGGGGCGUCGGUCUUCGGAUCGCCGUUUCUUCUCUCGAACUCGUCGCUCCCGAUCGGCUCGUUCGACGGUAACGAAGAGAGCGUGGGGCCGCGACUCGUUCGCGUCCGGCCCGUCGCAAGCUGGUCCGGUCAAACCGGUGUUCUCGAAGGCCUCGCGUCUUCGGUCCCGGAACCGGACUACUGUUGGCGACGGUGUUCUCGGACAGACUCCAUGCACGCUCGUCGGCGGCGCUUUCGUUUUGGGUACUUUCAGGACCCGUCUUGAAACACGGACCAAGGAGUCUAGCAUGAACGCGAGUCAAUGGGAACUUUUACAGUAAAACCUAAUGGCGAAAUGAAAGUGAAGGUCCACCUUUUAGGUGCGACCUAGGAGAGAUGGGCGAUCGCUUAGAUCGCCUCGCACCUCCCGGGCGUCUCGUUCUCAUGCGAGAUGAGGCGCACCGAGAGCGUUCACGCU
rnacentral:rRNA from 1 species